rnacentral:misc_RNA from 1 species
CAUUAUAUCUUCAUAUCCAUCCUUUACCAUGUCCUCUGACAUGACUACAAUGUAGAAAAGAAAUCCAUUAGACAGUUUGCAAGUGCACAAAGAAUUUAUAGAAAAACUCCAUUGCAAUUGCAUGGUCAAAAGAUCUUUGAAUAGGAAGUGCACCAUUUUCACAACAUUAUAAUAAAGUUGGUCAAUCUGAAAACUAUAAAAUCGACAGAGUUCCAAUAGCUUUGGUGUUAUGCCAUAAAUUUUAUCGAGUAUGUCAAACACCAUCUAAUUAUUUACAAUAAUAUCACUACACUUUAGUUCCAUCAACAAGCACUGACGCGUGGAGAAGUUGUGUUAAUAAGACAACAAAACAGCACUUGUGCAUCAAGGGGCAAAGGGUACCCACUUCUACAUUUGCAAACCUAGAGGUUACCACUUCACAUCAAAUGCAUGCCAAUCAUAUUUCCAAGUAAAAGCAGCUGUCAUUCAUCCAUAUAAACAGUCGCAAGUAAGUAAUUUUUCCUAUCAGGAUUAUUUUUCCAUCCCCACAACCUCUAAAGCAGGCACAAACUUUUAACAGGCGUAUCCAGAAGCUUAAUGCUCCAAGAUUAAGGUACCCAGAAACUAAAAGCAAAACCCCUAACUAACCCAAUGGCCAUAUAAAGCAAAAGAGUCAAAUUCAAAUGCACAAAAUAAAACAAUAGCAGAAACGAUAAGAAGAGCAAAGGCAGGAAGAGAGUUAUGAGAUAAUUACGAGCAUUGCCACAGCCAAUCAUGAGAACGCGAAAGGAAGUGGGAAUAUAGCGACGAA